rnacentral:rRNA from 1 species
CCCGCUCAGAAACUCAAAUGAAUUGACGGGGGCCCGCACAAGCGGUGGAGCAUGUGGUUAAUUCGAUGCAACGCGAAGAACCUUACCUGGUCUUGACAUCCCGGAGACCCUUAGGAAACUAGGGGGUGCUUCCAUCUGGAAGAAUCUGGAGACAGGUGCUGCAUGGCUGUCGUCAGCUCGUGUCGUGAGAUGUUGGGUUAAGUCCCGCAACGAGCGCAACCCUUGCCUUUAGUUGCCAGCAGUUCGGCUGGGCACUCUAAAGGGACUGCCGGUGUUAAACCGGAGGAAGGUGGGGAUGACGUCAAGUCCUCAUGGCCUUUAUGACCAGGGCUACACACGUGCUACAAUGGCCGAUACAAAGGGCAGCGACACUGCGGGGUGAAGCCAAUCCCGUAAAAUCGGUCUCAGUCCGGAUUGGAGUCUGCAACUCGACUCCAUGAAGUUGGAAUCGCUAGUAAUCGUGGAUCAGCAUGCCACGGUGAAUACGUUCCCGGGCCUU